rnacentral:tRNA from 1 species
CAGGGAGACAACAAAAUGUUUAAUAUUAUUAUUUUGUCACCUUAGGUCGAUCGGUAUCUCACGUUUUUAAUUUAUUAAGAAUUUCAUUUCCUAAGUUUUUCUAGGUCACACCCAUUAUUUUUCCUGGGCCAUUAGCUCAGGUGGUUAGAGCGCACCCCUGGUAAGGGUGAGGUCCCUGGUUCAAGUCCAGGAUGGCCCAUAUCUCUAUGUUGGGGGUAUAGCUCAGUUGGUAGAGCGCCUGCUUUGCAAGCAGGAUGUCAGCGGUUCGAGUCCGCUUACCUCCACUGAUUACCACCUCUUUCAUAUCCGGUAGAAAGGAAAUGUAUUGAGUUGUGAUCAAAUUCUGAAAGAAUCUAGCUUCCUAAUAAAAUUAUUAAGAUGCUGGACUCAUUGAAUUAAUUUCAUUGGUUUCAGAGAACCUUGACAACUGCAUAGAUUAUUUUUAAAGACAAUAAGCAUCUUUAAUGAUGCAGAUUUAUUAUUUGUGCGAAUGCAUUAAUAACAAUUCUAUUAAGCUGAUGCUUCAAUUUUUGAAGUUAUU